rnacentral:rRNA from 1 species
AUAUGUUCAACGGCCGCGGUAUCCUGACCGUGCAAAGGUAGCAUAAUCAUUUGCCUUUUAAUUGGAGGCUAGUAUGAAUGGGUAGACGUAGAUUCAGCUGUUUCUAUAUUAUAAAUAAAACUUAAACUUUAGGUGAAGAUGCCUAAAUAUCAUAGAAAGACAAAAAGACCCUAUAGAGUUUUAGUUAAACAUACUUUACAAUCGUAUAAUAACUUUGGUUGGGGCGACCUAGGAUUUUUAUAAACAUCCUUUUAAUUUACGAUCCUUAAAUCUUUACAUUAGACCCUUAAACGGAUUAUUAAAAAUAACUACCUUAGGGAUAACAGGCUUAUCUUCCUAGAGAGCUCUUAUUGAUAGGAUGGUUUG